UCCCUGAUUGUCUAGUGGCUAGGAUUCGGCGCUUUCACCGCCGCGGCCCGGGUUCGCGUCCCGGGUUCGAUUCCCGGUCAGGGAA